rnacentral:lncRNA from 1 species
GAUGUCGGAAAGUCACCCAAAACAUCCAGUGAGUGAGGAUCGAGCCACCAGAUAGCAGUAAAACCCUAGGUUCAACCACCAGAAACCCUAGAAGCUGGUAAGUCACCGAAAGAUCACCCAAAAAUCACAGGAAAAUCUCCCAGAACGUUCGAGUGAAGAAGAUAUACUCAGGUAUCACGAUGCAAGUCUCCCAAAAGCAUCCGAUUUAGAUCGGAAUCGUCAUCGACCACAUGCGUCAGAAACACCCCCAAAAAUCUCAAACGAGACUUCAACCAACAUAACAAGAUGCAGAAAAACAUAGUCGGAUCAUCGUCUAUGCUCUGAUACCAUGAAAACAUUAAGAUUAAACUGAAGAAUCAUGGAGAAUAUAGUGAGAAAAACAAGAGAACGAAAGGGGUAGUAGAGAGAAGGAUCGAGAAGAUCCAAGAGAGAAGAUUUUUAUUAAACACAAAAUGAAUUUCCUAUCUAAAAUAUCUGACCCUAUACUUAAAAACAUAGUCGGAUCAUCGUCUAGGCUCUGAUACCAUGAAAACAUUAAGAUUAAACUAAAGAAUCAUGGAAAAUAUAGUUAGAGAAACAAGAGAGAGAAAGGGGUAGUUGAGAGAAGGAUCGAGAAGAUCCAGAGAGAAGAUUUUAUUAAAC